AAUGUUUUCAAAAGACAUAUAUGAUAAAGGCUGUUAUCCAAAAUACACAAAGAACUCUUAAAACUCAACAAAAAGAGAGGUGGGUAUGGGCACUGGCUGGGGUCGCUCAGUGCUCACCAUCCUCUUCUCAAAGCCAUGUCUCUAAGACAUGGUGAAGGUGAAGGCCAGAGUAAAUAGAUUUGGCCAUAUUGGGCACCUGGUCACCAGAGCUGCUUUUGACUCUAAUAAAGUGGAUAUUGUUGCCAUCAAUGACCCUUCAUUGACCUCAACUACAUGGUCUACAUGUUCCAGUAUUUCUACCCAUGGCAAAUUCCACCACACCGUCAAGGCUGAGAAUGGGAAGCUUGUCAUCAUUGGAAAUCCCAUCACCAUCUUCCAGGAGCAAGAUCCCACCAAAAUCAAAUGGGGUGAUGCUGAAGCUGAGUAUGCCAUGGAGUCCACUGGCAUCUUCAUGACCAUGGAGAAGGCUGGAGCUCACUUAAUGGGGGGAGCCAAAAGGGUCAUCAUCUCUACCCCCUCUGCUGAUGCCCCCAUAUUCAUAAUGGGCAUGAUCCAUGAGAAGUAUGAAAACAGCCUCAAGAUCAUCAGCAAUGCCUCCUGUACCUCCAACUGCUUAAUCCCCCUGGCCAAGCACAUCCAUGACAACUUUGGCAUUGUGGAAGGACUUGUGACCACAAUCCAUGCUGUCACUGCUACCCAGAAGACUGUGGAUGGCCUCUGUGGGAAACUGGCAUGAUGUCUGUGGGGCUCUCCAGAACAUCAUCCCUGCAUCUACUGGUGUUGCCAAGGCUGUGGGCAAGGCCAUCCCCGAGCUGAACCGGAAGUUCACUGGCAUGGCCUUCCAUGUCCCUUCUGCAAAUGUGUUGGUUGUGGACCUGACCUGCCAUCUGGAGAAACCUGCCAAAUAUGAUGACAUCAAAAAGGUGGGAAGCAGGUGUCAGAGGGCCCCUCAAGGGCAUCUGGGGCUACACUGAACACCAGGUUGUUUCCUCUGACUUUAACAGUGACACUCACUCUUCCACUUUUGAUGCUGGGGCUGGCAUUGCCCUCAGUGACCACUUUGUCAAGCUCAUUUCCUUGUAUAACAGUGAAUUUGGCUACAGCAACAGGGUGGUGGCGCAUAUGGCCUCCAAGGAGUAAGACUGCUCAACAACCAGCCCCAGUGAGAGCACAAGAGGAAGAAAGAGACCUUCAGCUUCUGGGCAGUCCCUGCCAUGCUCAGUUCCCCACCACACUGGGAAUCUCACCUCCUCUCAUAAUUUCCAUGCAGACCCCACAAAGAGCACUACCUGGUCGUGGACCAUCAAUAAAGUCCCCUGUACUAAAAAAAAAAAAAAAAAAAAAAGAAAAUGAACAACCUGAUUUUAAAAAUGAGCCAAAAAUCUUAAUGGACACCUCAUCACAGAGGAUAUACAGAUGGCAAAUAAACAUAUGAAAAAAAUGCUCCAUGUCAUAUGUCAUCAGGGAAAUGCAAAUUAAAACAAUGAGAUCUCACUACACACUUACUAAAAUGGCUAAAAUUUAGAACGCUGAUAACCAAAUGCUGGUGACAAUGUGGAUUAACAGGAACUCUUAUUCAUUGCUAGUGGGAAUGCCAAAUGGUACAGCGACUUUGGGAGACAAUUUGGUGGUUUCUUAAAAAAACUAAACAUACUCUUACCAU